rnacentral:tRNA from 1 species
AAAUAAAAGUGUCCAGGAGCGGGAAUCGAACCCACAACCUUCUGCUUACCGGGCAGGUGCCAUGUCCACUAGGCUAUAUUACGUCUUAUU